CAACCCUCAAGCUCUGCUUGGUAUUGGGCGUCACUGGAGACAGCGCGCCUUAAAAUCAGUGGCGGUGCCAUCCAGCUUCAAGCGUAGUAACUCUUCUCGCUUCUGGGGCCUGGGUGCACACCUGCCAGCAACCUCAAUUUAUCAAA
rnacentral:misc_RNA from 1 species